rnacentral:sRNA from 2 species
AAUCAUCAUCUCAGGGUCUGGAGUCUAAGAUGUCUGUAGAUGUACGGGGACCCUCUAUGCACCGAACCCAAUACGUUCAUUCCCCGUAUGAUCGUCCUGG